AACAAAUUCUCAACUGCACCAGAAGGCCUGACAGUUAAGAGAACCCAGUGAAGAAACCUUUUGCAGAGAGAGAAAAGAACCCUUUUGAAUGUGAUCAAUCACGCUGAUUUAUUUGGAUGAUUUCUCUUCUGGAUUUCCUUAAACCAGGGAAAACCCAGGGACAGCAAUUGCUAUAAUUGAUGCAAACGAUCCCAGCCACACUCCCUGAUCCUGGUUCUGAAACUCAGAGAUGCAGCUGACCAGACUGAUGUGGCCAGCCUCACUCUGAAGGAUCCUGCAGCAGACAAAUUGCUGGAAUGUGUUCAGACGGAAUCCAGCUGCUACAACCGUCACACAAACUUCCUGAAAUAGAGGACAAAAGAGACAGAGGUCUUGCUAUGUUGCCCAGGCUGGUCUCAAGCUCCUGGCCUCAAGCGAUUCUCCUUCCUCAGCCUCCAAAAGUGCUGGGAUUACAGGUGCAACAGUGACCCGUGACGCAGUAGGGAGGGCUGUUUUCCAUGCCCAGUGAGGCCUGCUCAGCUCCCAUUAGGCCUUUAUGGAUGGCCUGCCUCCCAGCUGGUACCUGGUCCCGUCACAGUCCCAGGACUCUAGACCUCGAGGCAGCCAGGCCACAAAAUGCAUGGCACAGGGAAGGGUUUGACAACUUUUUGAUGGAUGAACAAAGAAGAUUCAAGCCACUUGUCAACAAGCUCAAAGUGAUUGAAAGUGGAAGCAUUUACCCACACGCUCAUGCAGAAAAUGACAGGAAAUCAUCCAGAGACACUUGUGACAGAGAUGAGAACUGUCACUGUUGAGAGGUGCUGCGGAGAUGGGUGUCCACGGAUGACCGUUCGGAGGCCGACUUCGGGGAUGUGGCCCCAUUAGCUCAAGAGUGGGUGACUCCCUACCACACUGAUGGCGUUGGCCAGGACAGGACAAGCCUACUGCAGUGACACAGUGUCACUGAUCCCUGAUGCCCACGUGGGUGUUUUACUUUAGCUAAUGCUGCAGAGAUAAUGCAGACAGAGAAAUGAGGCCCCAGCGCUGAGCAGCCCAAUCACCUGGUUGUAAGCAGCGAGUGUUUCUGGCUCUGCUCCUGGGCCCCAAACCACUGUGGGCUCACGAAGAAUCUUUCAGAGUUGGAGUCAGAAUGUCAGGGUUUGAGUGUAGUCUCCACCCCUUAAUGACCUUGCAUUGAUAAUUCUAUUCCCCGAGCCUCAUUUUACCCAUCUAUAAAAUGAGGACAAAUAGUUUAUUUCCUGGUUACUUCACUAAGAUGUUGUAUCAAAAAAGAAUAUAUGCAAUAAAAUGCUUUCCUAAGUAAAAAAA
rnacentral:lncRNA from 1 species